rnacentral:tRNA from 3 species
GCCUCCUUAGCUCAGUGGUAGAGCAACGCACUUGUAAUGCGUAGGUCGUCAGUUCAAUCCUGACAGGGGGCUCAA